UGUCAAAUCAUCAUGCCCCUUAUGUCCUGGGCUACGCACGUACUACAAUGGCGAUUAACAAUGGGUUGCCAAGCCGCGAGGCGGAGCAAAUCCCCAAAAAUCGUCCCAGUUCGGAUUGUAGGCUGAAACUCGCCUGCAUGAAGUUGGAAUUGCUAGUAAUCGCGGAUCAGCAUGUCGCGGUGAAUACGUUCCCGGGCCUU
rnacentral:rRNA from 1 species